rnacentral:lncRNA from 1 species
AAAGCUAAAGCAGAUAUACAUCAAGUGUGGGAAUGAAUGUAUAAACUACAUAUCUUGAAAAAUUCUUAUUUGUAACCUCCUUUUUUUUAGGGAUAUUGCAUCGAAAGAAUCUACAGAAAUGCUGUGUGUUCUUAUGCAAAUAUUAGUGGUAUCACUAGAGCACAAUUAAUUUUAGCUUCACAUUUAAUUAAAAUUCCAAACCUUCCCAGUAUGCUGUUAUGAAGGAAAAAAUUGAUUCUGAGGUGUGAGUCAAUCCUUUCUCAGCUGUGAUUUCCAACAGUAAAUGAGGAAAUUUUGCUUAUAGAAAUGCCAUGUCAACAGAGGUUGGGACUACUUGAAUCUUGGAAGUGCCACUGCAGUAGAAGAUGAAAGCAAAACAUGAUCGACACCACCCAAAAAAAGAUUUUGUGCCCAUUUUGUGCCAGUUGUGAAUACUGAUAGGAAUAUUAGUUAUUGAAACUGGGGGGAAAUGCAAUCUUAGAAAGAAAUUCCUUCAUUUUUUGAGGUUACUUUUAAGAUUCACGAGAUAUCAUUGGAACAAUACAAAAUUUGCCACAAUUGCAUGUGGUCGUGUUAAUGCUAUUAGUGUUAAGAAUUCAGUCUAUCCAGCCAAAACAGGUAAGCA